GACGAACCGUGCAAACGUUGUUCGGAAUCACUGGGCUUAAAGGGCGCGUAGGCGGGUCUCCAAGUCGGUGGUGAAAUCUUUCAGCUCAACUGGAAAAGUGCCGCCGAUACUGGGGAUCUCGAGGGAGGUAGGGGUCGAUGGAACUAAUGGUGGAGCGGUGAAAUGCGUAGAUAUCAUGAGGAACGCCGGUGGCGAAAGCGAUCGACUGGACCUCUUCUGACGCUGAGGCGCGAAAGCCAGGGGAGCAAACGGG
rnacentral:rRNA from 1 species